AAGCGUAGGAGGCGAGCGUUAUCCGGAUUUACUGGGCGUAAAGAGCGUGUAGGCGGUUUAGUAAGUCGGACGUGAAAGCUCCCGGCUCAACUGGGAGAGGCCGUUCGAUACUGCUGGACUUGAGGGCAGUAGAGGGAGGUGGAAUUCCGGGUGUAGCGGUGAAAUGCGUAGAUAUCCGGAGGAACACCAGUGGCGAAGGCGGCCUCCUGGACUGUCCCUGACGCUAAGACGCGAAAGCUAGGGUAGCAAACGGGAUUAGAAACCCCGGUAGUCC
rnacentral:rRNA from 1 species